CUGGGGGCCCCUGGCCCAGCUCUCUCUGUUUCUUCUAGGGCUUUUCGCACUCCUGCCUCAAGCUCCAAGCUGCAGUUUCAGCAGGGAGCCUCCUUCCCUCCCUCUCCCGCCCCCAGGUUUCAGCUCCAGUCAGUUGUUCCCUCUCAGUGGAAGGUCCGGGGGCAGCAGGGAUUCACUUCUGAGAUCUGGGGUGUUGGGAAGAGCUAGAAGGAUGGCUCCCAAGGCACAGGAGCCUUCCCCGGCUGCAUCUUCUCCUUGUCUUCAUUAGGCUCUCAUUAACUGGGAGAUGUAGGGAUGGAGGACUAUGGAUUUUGAAGAAUACAGACAUAGCCUGUCAGAAUUGGUUGAUAUGUUGGUUCAUUCUCCUGAACUACUUUCUCCCUUCUCUAUUUUUUUUUUUUUCUGGUAAAAAAGGAGAGAAGAGGGGAAUAUUUAAAAAUGAAGAUGAUACAAAGACAAAGGAUAUAUCAAUAAAACAUUUUAAAAGUCUGUUGAUUUUCUGAAUUGAUUUGGUUGUUUGGCUGGAAGAGUUGCUGUUUGCUCAGCAAGAACAUGGCACCAGAUACUGAAACAGAUACGGAGGUUAUUUUCAAACUGCAUGUAGACCCCCAAAUGGAACAUCUUCUUUUUCAAU
rnacentral:lncRNA from 1 species